GGGGACAUAGCUCAGUGGUAGAGUGCUUACCUAGUAUAUAUGAGGCCUUGGGUUGAUCCCCAGCACCA
rnacentral:tRNA from 1 species